CUCGCUUCUAGGAGUAAGACCCACCGACCGCGAGCUCCGGGCCGCUUUGCCAGGGGACAAACUACAGUUGCUGGUUCAACAGGAGGGAAACAUUUAUGAGACACCUGAGAUACUUGGAAGAUCCGGACUCCAGCAGAAAUUUGCACAAAUGAACACACCCAUCAACAAGGCCCUGCUGUCUACCUACACAUUCCAUCGCGGAGCCUGGCCCGGUGGGCCCCCGGUCCGCCCACCCUCCUGGCCACUCUGGGAAGCUGCACAGCCCUUGGAGCCCUGAGGGGCAGGUGCCCCCAGCAGGUCGACGUCUUGAAGAAACAGGAGCGUUUCCUGGUCGCCCACCUUGGUCCUCCUGCU
rnacentral:lncRNA from 1 species